rnacentral:tRNA from 1 species
GAGGGUACAGCUUAGCGGUAGAGCGUGUGCUUAGCGCGCAUGAGAUUUUGGGUUCAAUCCCCAGUACCUCCA